CAGAGAUCAAUUGUGAACAGAAUUUCAGCUUUAGAUCCAGCCUUUCCGUUGUUCUACGGAUCUUUUUCGAGUCAUUUAAGUAAACAUGAUGCCGAUUUCG